rnacentral:rRNA from 1 species
CAACAGGGUUUGCCCCAGUAACGGCGAGUGAAGCGGCAACAGCUCAAAUUUGAAAUCUGGCCCCUAGGGCCCGAGUUGUAAUUUGCAGAGGAUGCUUUUGGCGAGGUGCCUUCCGAGUUCCCUGGAACGGGGACGCCAUAGAGGGUGAGAGCCCCGUCUGGUUGGAUGCCGAGCCUCUGUAAAGCUCCUUCGACGAGUCGAGUAGUUUGGGAAUGCUGCUCUAAAUGGGAGGUAUAUGUCUUCUAAAGCUAAAUACCGGCCAGAGACCGAUAGCGCACAAGUAGAGUGAUCGAAAGAUGAAAAGCACUUUGAAAAGAGGGUUAAAUAGUACGUGAAAUUGUUGAAAGGGAAGCACUUAUGACCAGACUUGGACCCGGUGAAUCAUCCAGCGUUCUCGCUGGUGCACUUUGCCGGGCUCAGGCCAGCAUCAGUUUGCCUCGGGGGAUAAAGGCUUUGGGAAUGUGGCUCCCUCGGGAGUGUUAUAGCCCAUUGCACAAUACCCUGGGGCGGACUGAGGUUCGCGCAUCUGCAAGGAUGCUGGCGUAAUGGUCAUCAGUGACCCGUCUUGAAACACGGACCAAGGAGUCGUCUUCGUAUGCGAGUGUUCGGGUGUAAAACCCCUACGCGUAAUGAAAGUGAACGCAGGUGAGAGCUUCGGCGCAUCAUCGACCGAUCCUGAUGUUCUCGGAUGGAUUUGAGUAAGAGCAUACGGGGCCGGACCCGAAAGAAGGUGAACUAUGCCUGUAUAGGGUGAAGCCAGAGGAAACUCUGGUGGAGGCUCGCAGCGGUUCUGACGUGCAAAUCGAUCGUCAAAUAUGGGCAUGGGGGCGAAAGACUAAUCGA